rnacentral:rRNA from 1 species
UACGAAGGGGGCUAGCGUUGUUCGGAAUCACUGGGCGUAAAGCGCACGUAGGCGGCUUUGUAAGUUAGAGGUGAAAGCCCGGGGCUCAACUCCGGAAUUGCCUUUAAGACUGCAUCGCUAGAAUUGUGGAGAGGUAAGUGGAAUUCCGAGUGUAGAGGUGAAAUUCGUAGAUAUUCGGAAGAACACCAGUGGCGAAGGCGACUUACUGGACACAUAUUGACGCUGAGGUGCGAAAGCGUGGGGAGCAAACAGG